rnacentral:tRNA from 1 species
AACAGAAUAGUAUAAUAAAGUAAACUCAUGAUUCAUAAUCAUGAGGUCGAGGGUUCAAGUCCCUCUCUCGCUA